rnacentral:rRNA from 1 species
GAUCCUGGCUCAGGAUGAACGCUAGCGACAGGCUUAACACAUGCAAGUCGAGGGGCAGCAUGGUCAGUAGCAAUACCGACUGAUGGCGACCGGCGCACGGGUGAGUAACGCGUAUCCAACCUGCCCAUCACUUGGGAAUAACCUUGCGAAAGUAAGACUAAUGCCCAAUGAUAUCCCACGAAGGCAUCCGAAUGGGAUUAAAGAUUUAUCGGUGAUGGAUGGGGAUGCGU